AGCUCGAUAGCGUAACGGUAGCGCGUCUGUCCCCAAGACAGAAAGAUCUCGGUUCGAAUCCGGGUCGAGCUA
rnacentral:tRNA from 1 species